rnacentral:rRNA from 1 species
GACGAACGCUGGCGGCGUGCUUAACACAUGCAAGUCGAACGGAAAGGCCCUGCUUUUGUGGGGUGCUCGAGUGGCGAACGGGUGAGUAACACGUGAGUAACCUGCCCUUGACUUUGGGAUAACUUCAGGAAACUGGGGCUAAUACCGGAUAGGAGCUCCUGCUGCAUGGUGGGGGUUGGAAAGUUUCGGCGGUGGGGGAUGGACUCGCGGCUUAUCAGCUUGUUGGGGGGGUAGGGGCUUACCAAGGCUUUGACGGGUAGCCGGCCUGAGAGGGUGACCGGCCACAUUGGGACUGAGAUACGGCCCAGAAUCCUACGGGACGCAGCAGUGGGGAAUAUUGCACAAUGGGGGGAAGCCUGAUGCAGCAACGCCGCGUGCGGGAUGACGGCCUUCGGGUUGUAAACCGCUUUCGCCGGUGACGAAGCGUGAGUGACGGUAAUGGGUAAAGAAGCACCGGCUAACUACGUG